ACAUAUCAAUAAGCGGAGGAAAAGAAACCAACAGGGAUUGCCCUAGUAACGGCGAGUGAAGCGGCAACAGCUCAAAUUUGAAAUCUGGCCUUUCAGGUCCGAGUUGUAAUUUGUAGAGGAUGCUUCGGCGUUGGACCCGACCUAAGUUCCUUGGAACAGGACGUCACAGAGGGUGAGAAUCCCGUACGUGGCCGGUGUCCCUCGCCAUGUGAAGCUCCUUCGACGAGUCGAGUUGUUUGGGAAUGCAGCUCUAAAUGGGAGGUAAAUUUCUUCUAAAGCUAAAUACUGGCCAGAGACCGAUAGCGCACAAGUAGAGUGAUCGAAAGAUGAAAAGCACUUUGGAAAGAGAGUUAAAAAGUACGUGAAAUUGUUGAAAGGGAAGCGCUUGCAAUCAGACCUGCCCGCGGUCGCUCAUCCAGGCUUCUGCCUGGUGCACUCUUCCGCGGUCAGGCCAGCAUCGGUUCGGGCGGUCGGACAAAGACGGCGGGAAUGUAGCUCCCCUCGGGGAGUGUUAUAGCCCGCCGUGUAAUGCGGCCAGUCCGGACCGAGGUCCGCGCUUCGGCUAGGAUGCUGGCGUAAUGGUUGUAAGCGGCCCGUCUUGAAACACGGACCAAGGAGUCUAACAUCUGUGCGAGUGUUUGGGUGUCAAGCCCGGACGCGUAAUGAAAGUGAACGGAGGCGGGAACCUUAGGGUGCACCGUCGACCGAUCCUGAUGUCUUCGGAUGGAUUUGAGUAAGAGCAUAGCUGUUGGGACCCGAAAGAUGGUGAACUAUGCCUGAAUAGGGUGAAGCCAGAGGAAACUCUGGUGGAGGCUCGCAGCGGUUCUGACGUGCAAAUCGAUCGUCAAAUUUGGGCAUAGGGGCGAAAGACUAAUCGAACUAUCUAGUAGCUGGUUCCUGCCGAA
rnacentral:rRNA from 1 species